rnacentral:misc_RNA from 1 species
GAUGAAGAACGUAGUGAAAUGCGAUAAGUAAUGUGAAUUGCAGAAUUCAGUGAAUCAUCGAAUCUUUGAACGCACAUUGCGCCCGGCAGUACUCUGCCGGGCAUGCCUGUUCGAGCGUCAUUUCAACCCUCAAGCCCUGCUUGGUGUUGGGGCCCCACGGCUGCCGUGGGCCCUGAAAGGAAGUGGCGGGCUCGCUACAACUCCGAGCGUAGUAAUUCAUUAUCUCGCUUAGGGCGUUGGGCGGCGCUCCAGCCGUUAAAGAACCAUCUUUAACUCAAGGUUGAGCUCGGAUCAGGUAGGAAUACCCGCUGAACUUAAGCAUAUCAAUAAGCGGAGGA